GACGAACGCUGGCGGCGUGCUUAACACAUGCAAGUCGAGCGGAAAGGCCCUUCGGGGUGCUCGAGCGGCGAACGGGUGAGUAACACGUGAGUGAUCUGCCCUUCACUUCGGGAUAGCUUCGGGAAACCGAGAUUAAUACCGGAUAUUCAGGCCUUGCUGCAUGGUGGGGUUUGGAAAGCCUUCGGGUGGUGGGGGAUGUGCUCGCGGCCUAUCAGCUUGUUGGUGGGGUAAUGGCCUACCAAGGCUUUGACGGGUAGCCGGCCUGAGAGGGUGACCGGUCACACUGGGACUGAGACACGGCCCAGACUCCUACGGGAGGCAGCAGUGGGGAAUAUUGGACAAUGGGCGGAAGCCUGAUCCAGCAACGCCGCGUGAGGGAUGACGGCCUUCGGGUUGUAAACCUCUUUCAGCAUUGGCGAAGCCGCUAUUUUUUGGUGGUGGUGACGGUAUGUGCAGAAGAAGCACCGGCCAACUACGUGCCAGCAGCCGCAGUAA
rnacentral:rRNA from 1 species